AGAUUUGAAAUCUUGUCUUGGCAGUGGUGGCUUCCUCUAAUCAGAUGUGGCACAUCCUGACUCAGUUCUGCUUGAUGGAGCUUGCAGUAAAGGGUUUUGUUUGAAAGGUUAUAAGAAAUAUAUGGACCAUAAAGCCAAAGGUAUAGUCGCAAAAUAUGAUUUAAAUACCUACAUCUCUACUGCCUUGCAUUUAAAACAAAAACUUUACAAAAACGCGAAUUAAGUUGUUUUCUCCAUCUUUCCUCGUAAUUCAACACUUUAAUGCAUAUUUUCUGCCAAAAAGUCGUAAAGUAAAAAUGAUGUU